ensembl:lncRNA LINC02380 long intergenic non-protein coding RNA 2380
AUUUCAGUUUGAGUCUGAAGGCAGGAAAAGACUGAUGUCCCAUCUCAAAGCAGUCAGGCAGAGGGAGUUCCCUCUUGUUCUCACUCAAGGAAGGAUGGCGCAGUGCUCCCGCUGUUCCGAGGCUCAGCUACCCUGAGGGAGGCAGGGAAUUUUGAUCAGCUUCUGAAGAAUCACCUCAUCUCUCCCCGCAGAGAGCACAGAGCACAGGACUUCACGUUAUGUCAACAUCUCUUGCAAAAGCCCAGCUCCUAGAGAGCAGGAGCCUUCCCAGACUGUGUCAAAUUACCUCGGGGAUGGAGAGACUUACAUGGCAUUAAUAGAAAUCAAAUGGCAGAGCUCGGGUUUCUGAUGAGUCUCCUGAGGUUCAGAAGGGUGAGAUGACACAUUCAAGGUCACAUGGCUCAUUUGUGUUGGAGUCAGAAGUUUCCAGAUUUCUUGACUUUUAGUCCAAGGAGCAGUCCCUGUGCAUGUGUCAGAGUUGAACAAGCCAGGGUUUUGGCUUAAAGUCUGACUGUAUGAGGGCAUGUCAAGAAGAGCUGGACUGAGUGCCCAUGACCUCAGGGACAUCUUGGAAGCUAUAUGUAGAAGAUGGAAAAGCCUCUGUCAUCUCCAUCAAUUUAAUCUCCAAAUAACUACUUAGAAAAGGGACAGCUUACUAACUCCUUCAUUGCCCAGUACUAUUAGCUAAAAACAUUAUAACAGGAGAUUCAAAUUCUACAUGGUGGGAGCAAAAGUGGAUCUUGUUUUUCUAUAGCAACAUGGUUGACCUUCAUAGUGAAGUUUGAAUCUGACAGCAUUCAUGCUCAAAUGUCCAAGCCCUGCAUUUCUGAUACCAUGGAAUCACAAGCACGCUGUGUGAUACUGUGCAGCAUUUGAUCCUGCCUGACUUCUGUGUCUCAGCCUAUCAACGAAGAUAUUUAUAGCUGCCUUAUGCCAACGUACUUUUUAAAGCUGGGUAAUACCAGUGUAAGAUGGUCACAUUUAUCUUGAAAGCCGAGGUAGGGUACCAUGUGUGCUCCCUGAA